rnacentral:antisense_RNA from 1 species
CUUGACCGAGCCGAGCAGCAGCGGCUCGUCGCGGUCCUGGCCGUAGGUGGCGAGCAGCGCCUGCGCCUC